UACGUAGGGGGCAAGCGUUGUCCGGAUUUAUUGGGCGUAAAGAGCGUGUAGGCGGCCAGGUAGGUCUGCUGUGAAAACUCGAGGCUUAACCUCGAGAUGUCGGCGGAAACCAUCUGGCUAGAGUCCGGAAGAGGAGAGCGGAAUUCCUGGUGUAGCGGUGAAAUGCGCAGAUAUCAGGAAGAACACCCGUGGCGAAGGCGGCUCUCUGGGACGGUACUGACGCUGAGACGCGAAAGCGUGGGGAGCGAACAGG
rnacentral:rRNA from 1 species